UGGGGAAUAUUGGACAAUGGGCGAAAGCCUGAUCCAGCCAUGCCGCGUGAGUGAUGACGGCCUUAGGGUUGUAAAGCUCUUUCGUCAGGGACGAUAAUGACGGUACCUGAAGAAGAAGCCCCGGCUAACUUCGUGCCAGCAGCCGCGGUAAUACGAAGGGGGCUAGCGUUGUUCGGAAUUACUGGGCGUAAAGCGCGUGUAGGCGGGUCUUUAAGUCAGGGGUGAAAUGCCAAGGCUCAACCUUGGAACUGCCUUUGAUACUGGAGAUCUUGAGUCCGGGAGAGGUGAGUGGAACUGCGAGUGUAGAGGUGAAAUUCGUAGAUAUUCGCAAGAACACCAGUGGCGAAGGCGGCUCACUGGCCCGGUACUGACGCUGAGAUGCGAAAGCGUGGGGAGCAAACAGGAUUAGAUACCCCCGUAGUCC
rnacentral:rRNA from 1 species